CCUACGGGGGGCAGCAGUGGGGAAUAUUGGACAAUGGGGGGAACCCUGAUCCAGCCAUGCCGCGUGUGUGAAGAAGGCCCUCGGGUUGUAAAGCACUUUCAGUGAGGAAGAACGCCUGGUGGUUAAUACCCAUCAGGAAAGACAUCACUCACAGAAGAAGCACCGUCUAACUCCGUGCCAGCAGCCGCGGUAAUACGGAGGGUGCGAGCGUUAAUCGGAAUUACUGGGCGUAAAGCGCGCGUAGGUGGCUUGAUAAGCCGGUUGUGAAAGCCCCGGGCUCAACCUGGGAACGGCAUCCGGAACUGGCAAGCUAGAGUGCAGGAGAGGAAGGUAGAAUUCCCGGUGUAGCGGUGAAAUGCGUAGAGAUCGGGAGGAAUACCAGUGGCGAAGGCGGCCUUCUGGACUGACACUGACACUGAGGUGCGAAAGCGUGGGUAGCAAACAGGAUUAGAUACCCGGGUAGUC
rnacentral:rRNA from 1 species